rnacentral:rRNA from 1 species
CGGGCGGUUCGCCGCCCGCGACUCGGCGAGAAGUCCAUUGAACCUUAUCAUUUAAAGGAAGGAGAAGUCGUAACAAGGUUUCCGUAGGUGAACCUGCGGAAGGAUCAUUG